CCUUCACGAACGGAUCAUGAUAAUAGGAAUAGACCCCCCCCCCCCCCCCACACAUUAUAAGAAUAGAGUUUACCCCCCCCGCCCCCCCCCAGGACCGCUGCAUUAUCAAGAAGGCGAAAAAGAAAACAUAAUGCCGACUAUUGAUAUUAAAACAUGGAAUAGAUACCCGUCUAUUCAUGAAAUGCCCACUAGAUUGAAGACUACGAGCCAUUCGCUUAAAACUCAAAGACUUUGGCGGUGUCUUAUCAAAUUAGGGGAACCUGCCCCAUAAAUCGACAAUCCACGACUAAAUAACCUUUAUUAGAUCUUUUAAACAGUCUGUAUACUGCCGUCGUAAGUAAGCCUCUGAAAGACUUAGAGCCUACAACAAACAAUCACCGUAUCACGUCAGGUCAUAGUGCAACCAAUAUAUGGGAGGUGGUGGGUUACAACCUAUAUAACGACACGAAUCUACAUAAUUAAGCCGUAGUGAAGGAGGACUUAAUUGUAAUUUAAUAACUAAAUUUAAAUGAGCUUGAAUCUAAGACAUGCACACAUCGCCCUCAUCUCCUAAACGC
rnacentral:rRNA from 1 species